rnacentral:rRNA from 1 species
CCUACGGGUGGCAGCAGUGGGGAAUUGUUCGCAAUGGGCGCAAGCCUGACGACGCAACGCCGCGUGGAGGAUGAAGGUCUUCGGAUUGUAAACUCCUGUUGCCCGGGACGAAAAGCUUUGACCUAACACGUCAAAGUCUGACGGUACCGGGUGAGGAAGCCCCGGCUAACUCUGUGCCAGCAGCCGCGGUAAUACAGAGGGGGCAAGCGUUGUUCGGAAUUACUGGGCGUAAAGGGCGCGUAGGCGGCCUGUUAAGUCGAACGUGAAAUCCCCGGGCUCAACCCGGGAACUGCGUCCGAUACUGGCUGGCUUGAAUCCGGGAGAGGGAUGUGGAAUUCCAGGUGUAGCGGUGAAAUGCGUAGAUAUCUGGAGGAACACCGGUGGCGAAGGCGACAUCCUGGACCGGCAUUGACGCUGAGGCGCGAAAGCUAGGGGAGCAAACGGGAUUAGAUACCCUUGUAGUC